GCGGCUCUCAGAGCCGAAUCAAAGCCGCCGGGCCUGGGGGACGUGCGGCGAGGGAACCGGGGGACGGCAUUAGAUCCCCUGCUCUUCCUGAUACAUAUUGUUGACCUACUGGUUGGUGUAUGGGACACCAUUUCAAAAUUAGCGGAUGACAUGGAACUUGGAGAUUGCCACUAUCCACAUGAUGCUGCCAGUGAAUUGUUGCAGGUGUUGCUCAGAAGCAAGGUCAGAAACUCAAACUGACAAAUGAAGAACACUUUUGAAGCAGAAAGGAUGUUGGACGUGGAAGCCGUUCCUCGCUUACUUUGAAGGACAUCUGUUGGGGAGCCCAGCCUGGCUGCACAACCCCACUUCACACCACCGCGAACAGAGCACAGAGCGGAAGACACACACAGAAGCAGUAAGACACGACCAGGUCACACAAAGACAGGCACAAAAAAGUGCCUGUCAAACCAGGCAGAAACUGAGAUGGAGAAACUGAUCAUUUAUGAAAAAAGGUGUUUGCUGUUGCAAGAAGAUCGGCCCUUUUUAAAAUAUAUUUCCUGUUGUGUAACUGUGCUUUCUGCUGUACAACUGUUCUCUCUGUCGUGGAACUGUGACAGACCUUCACUGUGGUUGUAUAAAAUGCUUCCCUGUUGUUCAAAUAUGUUCCCAGCUGUGUAAAAGCGCGACAUGUUUUGUAAAAGUGUUUCCUCUUGUGUAAAGAUGAUCUCUGCUGACCUGUGAAGAUGAGUUCUGCGGAAAAUAUUUCCUUCCUGGUCUCAUAGAACAAUAAGAAAUUUAGGGCAUAGAACGGGGGCCAUUCCACCCAUUGUAUCUGUGCCAGCUGAAAAAGAAACACAUAAAAUCUAGCCGCCCAUUCCAGUCCCACCUUACAGCACAGAGCUUUGCAGGUUGCAACACUUUAGGUGCAGAUCCAGGAAAGAUUGAAAUGAGCUGAGUGUUUCUGCCUCCACCACCAAACCAGGCAGCAAAUUGUCUCAGUGGCAGUUUCUUAGAGCAGUAAGUGUUGGAGUUGAAGUAACUUUGAACAGAUCUUUCAUAGUGGUAUUUUCUUGUGACAGAAUUGAUACCAAAGUCGUCCAAAAAUUAGCAGGAAAUCUAACCAACACAUUAAAGAGUUGAGGUGGUGAAAUAAAAUGACUGGUGGCCUGGAUCUUAGGCAGAUCACUCGGUCCUCGGGCCUCCUGCAAUGUGCCAAUGAAGCUCAGGACACUCUCGAGGAACAGCACCUCAUCUUUCAGUUGGGCAUUUUACAGAAGUCCAGAUUGACCAGAGUUUCCCUGGCAGAGAACCACCAGAGACAUGAAGGGCCAAAUGAACUUUCUCUGUGGUGUAACUAUUCUAAGAUUCCAUGUGUAUAAGUGCAGGAUUCAUUCUGUAUCGCUCUAUCCCUGGUAAAGGAUUUGAGUGUCUGA